rnacentral:tRNA from 1 species
AGUGUAAGGACUGCUUAUGUAGGUUACUGCGAUAUAGUAAAUUAAAGAAUUUUUUUUCUCUACAUUA